rnacentral:rRNA from 1 species
AUGAACGCUGGCGGCGUGCCUAAUCCCUGCAAGUCGAGCGAACAGACGAGGAGCUUGCUCCUCUGACGUUAGCGGCGGACGGGUGAGUAACACGUGGAUAACCUACCUAUAAGACUGGGAUAACUUCGGGAAACCGGAGCUAAUACCGGAUAAUAUAUUGAACCGCAUGGUUCAAUAGUGAAAGACGGUUUUGCUGUCACUUAUAGAUGGAUCCGCGCCGCAUUAGCUAGUUGGUAAGGUAACGGCUUACCAAGGCAACGAUGCGUAGCCGACCUGAGAGGGUGAUCGGCCACACUGGAACUGAGACACGGUCCAGACUCCUACGGGAGGCAGCAGUAGGGAAUCUUCCGCAAUGGGCGAAAGCCUGGCGGAGCAACGCCGCGUGAGUGAUGAAGGUCUUCGGAUCGUAAAACUCUGUUAUUAGGGAAGAACAAAUGUGUAAGUAACUAUGCACGUCUUGACGGUACCUAAUCAGAAAGCCACGGCUAACUACGUG